GGGUUCACAAAGUGCAAUCCCUCGAGCCAAUGUCAUGAAGAAAGGUGAUGACAUAAAAUUCAUGCUCAAUAGGAUUAUGCUGAGGCCC
ensembl:snoRNA Gm22496 predicted gene, 22496